AGUCGAACGAACUCUGGUAUUGAUUGGUGCUUGCAUCAUGAUUUACAUUUGAGUGAGUGGCGAACUGGUGAGUAACACGUGGGAAACCUGCCCAGAAGCGGGGGAUAACACCUGGAAACAGAUGCUAAUACCGCAUAACAACUUGGACCGCAUGGUCCGAGUUUGAAAGAUGGCUUCAGCUAUCACUUUUGGAUGGUCCCGCGGCGUAUUAGCUAGAUGGUGGGGUAACGGCUCACCAUGGCAAUGAUACGUAGCCGACCUGAGAGGGUAAUCGGCCACAUUGGGACUGAGACACGGCCCAAACUCCUACGGGAGGCAGCAGUAGGGAAUCUUCCACAAUGGACGAAAGUCUGAUGGAGCAACGCCGCGUGAGUGAAGAAGGGUUUCGGCUCGUAAAACUCUGUUGUUAAAGAAGAAUAUAUCUGAGAGUAACUGUUCAGGUAUUGACGGUAUUUAACCAGAAAGCCACGGCUAACUACGUGCCAGCAGCCGCGGUAAUACGUAGGUGGCAAGCGUUGUCCGGAUUUAUUGGGCGUAAAGCGAGCGCAGGCGGUUUUUUAAGUCUGAUGUGAAAGCCUUCGGCUCAACCGAAGAAGUGCAUCGGAAACUGGGAAACUUGAGUGCAGAAGAGGACAGUGGAACUCCAUGUGUAGCGGUGAAAUGCGUAGAUAUAUGGAAGAACACCAGUGGCGAAGGCGGCUGUCUGGUCUGUAACUGACGCUGAGGCUCGAAAGUAUGGGUAGCAAACAGGAUUAGAUACCCUGGUAGUCCAUACCGUAAACGAUGAAUGCUAAGUGUUGGAGGGUUUCCGCCCUUCAGUGCUGCAGCUAACGCAUUAAGCAUUCCGCCUGGGGAGUACGGCCGCAAGGCUGAAACUCAAAGGAAUUGACGGGGGCCCGCACAAGCGG
rnacentral:rRNA from 1 species